GCGUCCUCCACAUGUCUGGAAUGUGCUGCUAGCUAGCUAGCUAGCGCUAGCAUCAGACACCGCAGAUCAGCGACAAAAACAGAGCUUUGUUUGGCUAAUUUAAGAUAAUAAACACAAAAUAUGAAACAGUCGUCAUGGAAGAAUGUACCAAUGGACAAUAAAUAGUUAUCAGAAACAUGGAUAUAAAUUCUAGCUGGGAAAACACAUUUGUCAUAACAGCUGUAGCCAAUAAAUUCUGACUGAUUAAAUACAUGCUGUGUGUUGUUAUAUUUUGUGUUACAAGUGUGAGUAGGAUAAUUAGGCCUUUUUUUAUUGUAUAUUUGUUUUCAUUGCAAAAAUUAUUUCAUCGAAUCUUCUCUUUAUUAAGGUAAAGAUUUUUUUGUCUUUUAUAGCCAUCAGUGUUUUGAAUGUCAUUAAAAUUCAUAUACAUAAACUAUACUUAAAAUGAUUAGCUACAAUACUAUUUCAAAUACUGUGUUGAGUUAAAAAGUUUUUUUUUUCUUGCAGGUGAAGUUUUUAGAAGCAAAGUUCCAGAACAGUUUUUGUCAGAAGAACAGAGGAGAGCUCUACAAUCAAAGGAUUUCAGUGGAGCUGGGGUCCAGUGCUGAGGGAGCUGGGAGCACGUGUGAGCAGGAGCUGGGGUCGGUUACCGAGUAUCUUCAUCUGGAGAGGACCUGUUCUCUACAGACGUGAUGCUGAGCAGCAACGUGGACAGACUCUACCGGACAAGACUCUUGUUGAUACUGAAGUUAACCACAAACAGACUUUUCCAGAUGCAUUUGCUUCAUCUAAUAAAUGUUACUGACAGGUGUGCUGAGUAAAUGCUGAUUAAGAAGAACACAAAGUAAACCCCCAAACUGUAUCUUUGUUUCUGUUGAAAGAUGUAUGAAUGUGAAGUUUGUAAUAAAUAUACCACAUUGCCAUGAAA